AGCAGCCGCGGUAAUUCCAGCUCCAAUAGCGUAUAUUAAAGUUGUUGCAGUUAAAAGCUCGUAGUUGAAUUUCGGGAUCAGUUGAUCGGUCGUGCCUCGGUACGUACUGGUCAAAUUGAUUCCUACCUUCUGACGAACCACGAUGUCAUUAAUUUGGUGUCGUGGGAAAUCAGGACUGUUACUUUGAAAAAUUGAGUGUUUAAAGCAGGCUCGCGCUUGAAUACAUUAGCAUGGAAUAAUGAAAUAGGACGUUUGAUUCUAUUUUGUUGGUUUCUAGGAUCGACGUAAUGAUUAAUAGGGAUAGUUGGGGGCAUUAGUAUUCAAUUGUCAGAGGUGAAAUUCUUGGAUUUAUUGAAGACUAACUACUGCGAAAGCAUUUGCCAAGGAUGUUUUCAUUAAUCAAGAACGAAAGUUAGGGAUCGAAGACGAUCAGAUACCGUCGUAGUCUUAACCAUAAACU
rnacentral:misc_RNA from 1 species